CCUACGGGAGGCAGCAGUGAGGAAUAUUGGUCAAUGGGCGCGAGCCUGAACCAGCCAAGUAGCGUGAAGGAUGACUGCCCUACGGGUUGUAAACUUCUUUUAUAAAGGAAUAAAGUGCGGCACGUGUGCCUUUCUGUAUGUACUUUAUGAAUAAGGAUCUGCUAACUCCGUUCCAGCCGCCGCGGUAAUACGGAGGAUCCGAGCGUUAUCCGGCUUUAUUGGGUUUAAAGGGAGCGUAGAUGGGUUGUUAAGUCAGUUGGGAAAGUUUGCGGCUCAACCGUCAAAGUGCAAUUGAAACUGGCAGUCUUGAGUGCGGUUGAGGUAGGCGGAAUUCGUGGUGUAGCGGUGAAAUGCUUAGAUAUCACGCAGAACGCCGAUUGCGAAGGCAGCUUACUA
rnacentral:rRNA from 1 species